UGGGGAAUUUUGGACAAUGGGCGAAAGCCUGACCCAGCAACGCCGCGUGAAGGAUGAAGUAUUUCGGUAUGUAAACUUCGUAAGAAUAGGAAGAAUAAAUGACGGUACUAUUUGUAAGGUCCGGCUAACUACGUGCCAGCAGCCGCGGUAAUACGUAGGGACCAAGCGUUGUUCGGAUUUACUGGGCGUAAAGGGCGCGUAGGCGGUGUGUCAAGUCAGUUGUGAAAUCUCCGAGCUUAACUCGGAACGGUCAACUGAUACUGUCACACUAGAGUACAGAAGGGGCAAUCGGAAUUCUUGGUGUAGCGGUGAAAUGCGUAGAUAUCAAGAGGAACACCUGAGGCGAAGGCGGGUUGCUGGGCUGAUACUGACGCUGAGGCGCGAAAGCUAGGGUAGCAAACGGGAUUAGAUACCCCAGUAGUCCCUGAGCGGGCUGGCAAGGCGCAU
rnacentral:rRNA from 1 species